rnacentral:rRNA from 1 species
GAUGAACGCUGGCGGCGUGCCUAAUACAUGCAAGUCGAGCGAACGGACGAGAAGCUUGCUUCUCUGAUGUUAGCGGCGGACGGGUGAGUAACACGUGGAUAACCUACCUAUAAGACUGGGAUAACUUCGGGAAACCGGAGCUAAUACCGGAUGAUAUUUUGAACCGCAUGGUUCAAAAGUGAAAGACGGUCUUGCUGUCACUUAUAGAUGGAUCCGCGCUGCAUUAGCUAGUUGGUAAGGUAACGGCUUACCAAGGCAACGAUGCAUAGCCGACCUGAGAGGGGGAUCGGCCACACUGGACCUGAGACACGGUCCAGACUCCUACGGGAGGCAGCAGUAGGGAAUCUUCCGCAAUGGGCGAAAGCCUGACGGAGCAACGCCGCGUGAGUGAUGAAGGUCUUCGGAUCGUAAAACUCUGUUAUUAGGGAAGAACAUAUGUGUAAGUAACUGUGCACAUCUUGACGGUACCUAAUCAGAAAGCCACGGCUAACUACGU